AGUGAGGUGGCUGAAUUGAGGCAAUAAAUUGUAAAUUUAUUUAUGGUGUUUACCUCUCACUA
rnacentral:tRNA from 1 species